rnacentral:lncRNA from 1 species
GUUACAUUCAUAAAUCAGCUAUGUUGAAACACUGAUGAAGUGUUAUAAAGAUACAUUGUCUAAUCUAAAAUAAGUAUACAGGUAGGACAUUAUAUUUCUUUAAGUGUAGACAAUAUUUAUUUACCUUUCAAAUUAAUCUUUGUGAUUUGGUGCCUAAGUUUUUAUUUAAUACGACAAUGGCAGAACGUACGCUUAACCAUGUUCCCCUUCUUAUCAUUGUUAUAACAUGCAAAAUUGUUUCAGACGCACAAUGACAACCCGAAUCUGUUUUAAAGGAAAUUUUAUAAAUCAAAAAGAUAAAGUUGUUCUUAGCAUAAAUGUGUAUCUAAACUAAAUUUAAGAAGAGUGAAACAAUUUUAUUUCAACUCGUUAACCUUUCCAGAUAUAAACUUUAGAGAGAAACGCAUGGCUCAGGUUGCAUUCAAAACGUGUGACAUUUGCAGUAGUGCUCCAGAAAGACAUUGUUGUAUCGACUGUGAACAAUGUUUUUUGUGGAAAUUGUAGAGGCUUACAUACAAGGCAAACAGCAACACGACAACAUGAAUUUCAGGAAAUUUCCCAGAUGAAGAC